rfam:Oceanobacillus oncorhynchi strain Oc5 genome assembly, contig: CONTIG000001
GAUGUGAACUUAAUAGAAAUGCGUAUAAUUUCGGGGAUAUGGCCCAGAGUUUCUACCAGACUGCCGUAAAUGGUCUGACUACGCAGCGGAAAUAAUUUUAU